GCUCUUAUCAGUCUUGUGGUCAUAUGAUUCAGCAAUCAAGUGGCAAUUCAUAUCUCAAUUUGGAGACGGGGACAUUGAUGUAAAUUUUGUGGUUUCAUUUUAUUGUCCUAUUUGUAUGAUGUACUUUCAGGUGAAACUUUGAUUCAGUAGCCAAGAGAAAAUGAGGGG